GACAGAGGGUGCAAACGUUGCUCGGAAUCACUGGGCGUAAAGGGCGCGUAGGCGGCCAUCUAAGUCAGACGUGAAAUCCCUCGGCUCAACCGAGGAACUGCGUCUGAUACUGGAAGGCUUGAAUCCGGGAGAGGGAUGUGGAAUUCCAGGUGUAGCGGUGAAAUGCGCAGAUAUCAGGAGGAACACCGGUGGCGAAGGCGGAUCUCUGGGCCAUUACUGACGCUGAGGAGCGAAAGCGUGGGGAGCGAACAGG
rnacentral:rRNA from 1 species